UUUUAUUUAUCAGGCAAGGGUUCCUACUGGAAGAAUUAUUUUGGAAUUGCCUACUGGAAUGUUGGAUGAUGACAAGGGUGAUUUCGUUGGCACUGCAGUUCGUUGAAGAGGAGACUGGCAUAAAGUUCAAACUUGAAGACAUGGUUGAUCUCACUGCUUUCUUGGAUUCUUCAACAGGAUGCAGAUUUUUUCCCUCACCGGCUAGUAUUGGAAUGGAUAACUUGAACGCUUAAUGCACAAAGUGGAGCAGUUUUAGGUUGAUUUUGAUCUUUUACUAAGUAUUUAGGUUGAUGAUCAUCUCUAUUAGUGUAAUUUGAUAUAUUAUGAGCAGUUCUAACU